GAACGAUGAUGCCCAGCUUGCUGGGUGGAUUAGUGGCGAACGGGUGAGUAACACGUGAGUAACCUGCCCCUGACUCUGGGAUAAGCGUUGGAAACGACGUCUAAUACUGGAUAUGAUCACUGGCCGCAUGGUCUGGUGGUGGAAAGAUUUUUUGGUUGGGGAUGGACUCGCGGCCUAUCAGCUUGUUGGUGAGGUAAUGGCUCACCAAGGCGACGACGGGUAGCCGGCCUGAGAGGGUGACCGGCCACACUGGGACUGAGACACGGCCCAGACUCCUACGGGAGGCAGCAGUGGGGAAUAUUGCACAAUGGGCGAAAGCCUGAUGCAGCAACGCCGCGUGAGGGAUGACGGCCUUCGGGUUGUAAACCUCUUUUAGUAGGGAAGAAGCGAAAGUGACGGUACCUGCAGAAAAAGCACCGGCUAACUACGUGCCAGCAGCCGCGGUAAUACGUAGGGUGCAAGCGUUGUCCGGAAUUAUUGGGCGUAAAGAGCUCGUACGCGGUUUGUCGCGUCUGCUGUGAAAUCCCGAGGCUCAACCUCGGGCUUGCAGUGGGUACGGGCAGACUAGAGUGCGGUAGGGGAGAUUGGAAUUCCUGGUGUAGCGGUGGGAAUGCGCAGAUAUCAGGAGGAACACCGAUGGCGAAGGCAGAUCUCUGGGCCGUAACUGACGCUGAGGAGCGAAAGCAUGGGGAGCGAACAGGAUUAGAUACCCUGGUAGUCCAUGCCGUAAACGUUGGGCGCUAGAUGUAGGGACCUUUCCACGGUUUCUGUGUCGUAGCUAACGCAUUAAGCGCCCCGCCUGGGGAGUACGGCCGCAAGGCUAAAACUCAAAGGAAUUGACGGGGGCCCGCACAAGCGGCGGAGCAUGCGGAUUAAUUCGAUGCAACGCGAAGAACCUUACCAAGGCUUGACAUACACCGGAAACGGCCAGAGAUGGUCGCCCCCUUGUGGUCGGUGUACAGGUGGUGCAUGGUUGUCGUCAGCUCGUGUCGUGAGAUGUUGGGUUAAGUCCCGCAACGAGCGCAACCCUCGUUCUAUGUUGCCAGCGGGUUAUGCCGGGGACUCAUAGGAGACUGCCGGGGUCAACUCGGAGGAAGGUGGGGAUGACGUCAAAUCAUCAUGCCCCUUAUGUCUUGGGCUUCACGCAUGCUACAAUGGCCGGUACAAAGGGCUGCGAUACCGUAAGGUGGAGCGAAUCCCAAAAAGCCGGUCUCAGUUCGGAUUGAGGUCUGCAACUCGACCUCAUGAAGUCGGAGUCGCUAGUAAUCGCAGAUCAGCAACGCUGCGGUGAAUACGUUCCCGGGCCUUGUACACACCGCCCGUCAAGUCAUGAAAGUCGGUAACACCCGAA
rnacentral:rRNA from 1 species